CGAGCGGCAGCGCGGUGUAGCAAUACACUUCCGGCGAGCGGCGGACGGGUGAGGAAUGCGUCGGAAUCUGCCUUUUUGUGGGGGAUUACGCCAGGGAAACUUACGCUAAUACCGCAUACGACCUACGGGUGAAAGUGGGGGACCGCAAGGCCUCACGCAGAAAGAUGAGCCGACGCCGGAUUAGCUAGUUGGCGGGGUAAAGGCCCACCAAGGCGACGAUCCGUAGCUGGUCUGAGAGGAUGAUCAGCCACACUGGAACUGAGACACGGUCCAGACUCCUACGGGAGGCAGCAGUGGGGAAUAUUGGACAAUGGGCGCAAGCCUGAUCCCGCCAUGCCGCGUGUGUGAAGAAGGCCUUCGGGUUGUAAAGCACUUUUGUCCGGAAAGAAAUCCUUUCGAUUAAUACUCGGGAGGGAUGACGGUACCGGAAGAAUAAGCACCGGCUAACUUCGUGCCAGCAGCCGCGGUAAUACGAAGGGUGCAAGCGUUACUCGGAAUUACUGGGCGUAAAGCGUGCGUAGGUGGUUCGUUAAGUCUGAUGUGAAAAGCCCUGGGCUCAACCUGGGAAUGGCAUUGGAUACUGGCGACCUACAGUGCGGUAGAGGGGUGUGGAAUUCCCGGUGUAGCAGUGAAAUGCGUAGAUAUCGGGAGGAAACAUCCUGUGGGGAAAGCGGACAUCCUGGGACAAGCACUUGGACACUGUAGGCACUAAAGCGUUGGGGGAGCAAACAGGAUUAGGAAACCCUGGG
rnacentral:rRNA from 1 species